GUCCCACUGAGGAACCAGCACCAGGUUAGGAGGUCUGGUCCCACUGAGGAACAUCACCAGGUUAGAAGGUCUGGUCCCACUGAGGAACCAGCACUAGGUCAGAAGGCUUUCAAGAUAUCCAUGUACAGAAACACACACGAAUAAUUGACCUCACCUAGGGAUCCUUUUAAAUGGCCAGCUUUGAGGGGGACGAUUCUAUGCAAUCGAUCAAUUAAUAUUGAUCAGACGGUCAGUUCUUAUUGGUUCAAUCAAAGAAGGACAACUCACCCCCCCCCCCCCCA